rnacentral:rRNA from 1 species
AGCAGCCGCGGUAAUUCCAGCUCCAAUAGCGUAUAUUAAAGUUGUUGCAGUUAAAAAGCUCGUAGUUGAAUUUCGAGAUCAAUUUGUUGGUCGUGCCUCGGUACGUACUGGCAAUUUUGGUUUCUCCCUUCUGAAGAACCAUGAUGUCAUUAAUUUGGUGUCAUGGGGAAUCAGGACUGUUACUUUGAAAAAAUUAGAGUGUUUAAAGCAGGCUCGCGCUUGAAUACAUUAGCAUGGAAUAAUGAAAUAGGACGUUUGAUUCUAUUUUGUUGGUUUCUAGGAUCGACGUAAUGAUUAAUAGGGAUAGUUGGGGGCAUUAGUAUUCAAUUGUCAGAGGUGAAAUUCUUGGAUUUUAUUGAAGACUAACUACUGCGAAAGCAUUUGCCAAGGAUGUUUUCAUUAAUCAAGAACGAAAGUUAGGGGGAUCGAAGACGAU